UACGAGUGCCCCCGAGCGUUAUCCGGAAUCAUUGGGCGUAAAGGGUGUGUAGGUGGCAGUGUUAGUCGUCUGCUAAAGCCUGGGGCUCAACCCCAGUCAUGCGGUCGAAACGGCACAGCUAGAGGAUGGCAGGGAUGUAUGGAACUCAUGGAGUAGGGGUGAAAUCCGUUGAUAUCAUGGGGAACACCGAAAGCGAAGGCAGUACAUUGGGCCACUCCUGACACUGAAACACGAAAGCGUGGGUAGCAAACAGG
rnacentral:rRNA from 1 species